rnacentral:rRNA from 1 species
AUUGAACGCUGGCGGCAUGCCUUACACAUGCAAGUCGAACGGCAGCACGGGAGCAAUCCUGGUGGCGAGUGGCGAACGGGUGAGUAAAGUAUCGGAACGUGCCCAGUCGUGGGGGAUAACGUAGCGAAAGUUACGCUAAUACCGCAUACGAUCUAUGGAUGAAAGCGGGGGAUCGCAAGACCUCACGCGAUUGGAGCGGCCGAUAUCAGAUUAGGUAGUUGGUGGGGUAAAGGCCCACCAAACCGACGAUCUGUAGCUGGUCUGAGAGGACGACCAGCCACACUGGGACUGAGACACGGCCCAGACUCCUACGGGAGGCAGCAGUGGGGAAUUUUGGACAAUGGGCGAAAGCCUGAUCCAGCCAUGCCGCGUGCAGGAUGAAGGCCUUCGGGUUGUAAACUGCUUUUGUACGGAACGAAAAGGACUGCCCUAAUACGGCGGUCCCAUGACGGUACCGUAAGAAUAAGCACCGGCUAACUACGUGCCAGCCGCCGCCGUAA